GCCUCGGUGGUGUAGUGGUAGCACGGGCCCCCGUUAUGGGUAAAACGCGGGUUCAACUCCAGAUUGAGAUC